GUUGUUUUUUUGGUCAUUGAUGAAAAAUGGAAAAAGUGGCUGAAAAUGGACGAAAAGUUAAGGGUAUAGGCUUACUUUUUUGCUAUUUUUUGCUGCUUUAUGAAAAAUGAGAAAAGUGGCUGAAAAUGGACGAAAAGUUAAGGCUAUAGACUUACUUUUUUGCUAUUUUUUGCUGCUUUAUGAAAAAUGCAAAAAGUCGCUAAAAAUGGACGAAAAGUAAAGGGUAUUAUAGCCUUACUUUUUUGUUGUUUUUUGGUCAUUGAUGAAAAAUGAGAAAAGUGGCUGAAAAUGGACGAAAAGUUAAGGCUAUAGGCUUACUUUUUUGCUAAUUUUUGCUGCUUUAUGAAAAAUGAGAAAAGUGGCUGAAAAUGGACGAAAAGUUAAGGCUAUAGGCUUACUUUUUUGCUGCUUUAUGAAAAAUGAGAAAAGUGGCUGAAAAUGAAC
rnacentral:lncRNA from 1 species